ensembl:lncRNA
CACAUAUACAUUACAGCACAAUGAGAUUCUUUUUCCGCAUAUCUCAGCUUGUUAGGAAUAAAUUGAGAUAACCUGGAGCAGAUAUGGUUAAGGGCUUUGCUCAAGGGCCCAACAGUGGCAGCUUGGCAUUGCUGGGGCUAGAACUCCCAACCUUCUGCUCAGUAACCCAGAGCCUUAAAAUUGAGACACCCCUGCUCAUGAACAGGCAGUUCUGGAAGUUGAUGUGUUUGAAGAAGGAAAAACGGACACAUAACGAUCUGAGCGACUUUGCCAAGGGCCAAUGGCUAGACGACUGGGUCAGAGAACCUCCAAAACAGCAGGUCUUGUUGGCUGGUCCCAGUAUGCAGUGUUUAGUACCUACCAAAAGUGGUCCAAAAUAGGACAACCAGUGAAGCAGCCACAGAGUCAUGGGUGCCCAAGGCUCACUGAUGCAUGUGAGGAGCAAAGGCUAGCCCUUCUGGUCCCAUUGAAGCACUAUUGUAGCACAAAUUGCUGAAAAAGUUCAUGCUGACUGUGAUAGAACACAGAGUGCAUUGCAGCUUGCUGCAUAUGGGGCUGUGCAGCCACAGAGCAUAGAGUGCCCAUGCUGCUCCUUGUCCACCACUGAAAGCGCCUACAAUGGGCAUUGACCAGAACAUCAUACUGCCUCUGCCAGCUUGCCUUCUUCCCAUAUGGCUUCUUUCACCCUGCCACACUGCAAAAAUUAUUUAGGAAUGGUGUGAGGAAUAUGGCAAAGAGUUCAAAAUGUUGACUUGGCCUCCAAAUUCCAUAGAGAUCAUUACAAUCAGGGAUGCGCUAGACAAACAAGUCUGAUCCGUGGAGGCCCCACCUUGCAACUUACAGGACUUAAAGGAUCUGCUACUAAAGUCUUGGUGCUAGAUACCACAGCACACCUUCAAAGGUCCUAUGGAGUCCAUGCCUCGACAGGUCAGAGCUGUGUAGUUGGCGCAGGGGGACGUGCACAAUAUUAGUCAGAUGGUUUUAAUGUUAUGGCUAUUUCACAAACACCUGAUUUUGAUUUUAAACAUAUCACUUUAGACAAAAAAAAAAAAAAAAAACUUGCCAGCUUCCUGCUAGGAAUUCUUAUGCAUGCCAUUGCAAAUGAUCCUCCAGCCACGUACUGCACAGAAAUGACAUUACAGAAUCAUUAUAAAAGUUUAUAGAUUUAAUUGACUUGUGCUCUGUUAUGUUUGUUUAAUGUUUAAAGUAGACUGACAGUUUUAAAAUAAACUGUACGGUAAGCAAAAAAAGACAUGAAUUACUUUGAGUGAUUAAUUUGCAGGCAUCAAAUAUGUGACUAUUUUACAAAUAAUGAAAAAGACCAGACUCUAAAAAAAACCUACUACUGCUCCAACGAAAACUGGGCACACAUGUAGUAGUUUUAUGUUGAUGCUCAUGUAGUAAGCCGGAAAUCCCAGAAGCACUUGGAACAGUCCAAGUAAUAUUGUCAUAACCUAUAAGAGACAAAGUAUUUCAAUAGACUAAUUU